AAAUUGUCCAGAUAUGACGCACAUAUUGUGGUUGCAACAUCGAGAUGCAAUCGAUUUUGAUGCAAGGUUGUGUGACCAAAUUUAUGAAAAUGAGAUGCGUAACAGACAAAUAAGCCAUAAUCAUAAAAUUUAUGUUACCUGAAUCUGAGAGGCAAUGACUUUGUAUCGAAAUAGAUCUUUAAUCGUCAGCAAAACUUACAUAUAACUGAAAUUUGCAGACAGAGCUUUUUGGACUACUUCCUUUGUUCAACUACAAGUGAUAGGUGAAUUUCUGACAAAGGAAUAACAGAAUUUAGAGAUUUGAUCAACCACCAUACACCACGUGUUAAUCAAGUUUGCUGGGUCAGUAAUACCAGACGCUAUACUAAAGACUUCUUUUAUUAAUUAGAGCAUAAUAAUGUUAGUGCUAAUUAGCUAAAUGUUUUUUUCUUGCAUCACACCAAACUCUGUUUAUUGUCUUUGUCACGGGCAGUGUGUUGUUUGUUGAUUUUUUGUGUAACAUGUGUUAAUUAAAAACAACUGUUUGUCUUCUCUUUGCCAGGAUAUUUCUUACGAUGACUGGGAUGUGUUGUCGACAUUAAGGCGUCACCGGGAGGGUAAAUUACGUGUAUAUUCCACGAAACAUAGGACUUUUAGAAAUAUUGAGAAGAUGCAACACAGGGCGUGACGAACAACAGACAAAGUUGGCUUUGAUAUCUGUAAAGAAUCCCACGCCUGUGUCUAGUGGUACAUUAAUAAGACAGUGUAUCGUAGGCAUUAUAUACUGUAAAGAGUACAACGAAUAUUCAUGUAAAAGCAUACAUUUUGUAACAAAAUUACGGUUACAUGUGUUAUUAGUUUACUCUAUAUAUGACAAUUGUUCCUUGAAGAUACAUAAUUAUGAAUACUGUCAUUAUAAUUACUAACGCAAUUUUUUAAAGAAAGUUAAAAUAAAUUGUUAUCCUUGUCCGACCGUCAAAUUUUCUCCUUCUUGAUAUUCUUCUAAGUAUUACAAGCAAUGUUGUAACCAGUUUAUCAUUUGGAAUAAUAUAUAUAAGGUAGUGUCAUUUACAUAUGCAAAGGGGUUUUCUCGGUCAUCCUGAUGGUCAAAUACAAGUUUAAAAAAAAAUGUUUUCUUACAAAAUCCUGAUUCACAAACCUAUUUUGACAUUUUAUAUAAUUUUCGAAUCAUAUUUUGACUAAGAUGAUUGAUAGUGUACAUGACCUGUUGGUGUGUAAUGAGGUUUCGAAAAUUGUACGUUCACCUUGGGACUCAAAUGGUGAUCAAAGAACGACAUUUUUUUCCACAACAUUCAACUCAAUCUGGGCAAUAAGGUUAAAUUUCGGAAUUUUCAUUUCUUUUAACUUGUUAGAUACAUGUUAUAUGUGGAUUCAAAAGUGUGUUUUUCAUUAUAAUCUGGCCAAAAUUCAAUGAUUAAUUUAAUAAAAACUUA